GAUGAACGCUGGCGGCGUGCCUAAUACAUGCAAGUCGAGCGAAUGGAUUAAGAGCUUGCUCUUAUGAAGUUAGCGGCGGAAGGGUGAGUAACACGUGGGUAAACUGCCCAUAAGACUGGGAUAACUCCGGGAAACAGGGGCUAAUACCGGGUAACAUUUUGAACCGCAUGGUUAGAAAUUGAAAGGCGGCUUCGGCUGUCACUUAUGGAUGGACCCGCGUCGCAUUAGCUAGUUGGUGAGGUAACGGCUCACCAAAGCAACGAUGCGUAGCCGAGCUGAGAGGGUGAUCGGCCACACUGGGACUGAGACACGGCCCAGACUCCUACGGGAGGCAGCAGUAGGGAAUCUUCCGCAAUGGACGAAAGUCUGACGGAGCAACGCCGCGUGAGUGAUGAAGGCUUUCGGGUCGUAAAACUCUGUUGUUAGGGAGGAACAAGUGCUAGUUGAAUAAGCUGGCACCUUGACGGUACCUAACCAGAAAGCCACGGCUAACUACGUGCCAGCCGCCGCGGUAA
rnacentral:rRNA from 1 species